rnacentral:rRNA from 1 species
AGAGUUUGAUCAUGGCUCAGAACGAACGCUGGCGGCAGGCUUAACACAUGCAAGUCGAACGGCUGUAGCAAUACAGCAGUGGCAGACGGGUGAGUAACACGUGGGAACCUUCCUAGGGGUACGGAACAACUCAGGGAAACUUGAGCUAAUACCGUAUACGUCCGUAAGGAGAAAGAUUCAUCGCCCCUAGACGGGCCCGCGUCGGAUUAGGUAGUUGGUGGGGUAACGGCCUACCAAGCCUGCGAUCCGUAGCUGAUCUGAGAGGAUGAUCAGCCACACUGGGACUGAGACACGGCCCAGACUCCUACGGGAGGCAGCAGUGGGGAAUCUUGGACAAUGGGCGCAAGCCUGAUCCAGCCAUGCCGCGUGAGUGAAGAAGGCCUUAGGGUUGUAAAGCUCUUUUACCAGGGACGAUAAUGACGGUACCUGAGAAUA